rnacentral:rRNA from 1 species
GACGAACGCUGGCGGCGUGCUUAACACAUGCAAGUCGAGCGGUAAGGCCCUUUCGGGGGUACGACGAGCGGCGAACGGGUGAGUAACACGUGGGUGACCUGCCCUCAGCUCUGGGAUAAGCCUGGGAAACUGGGUCUAAUACCGGAUAUGACUCCAUGACGCAUGUUGUGGGGUGGAAAGCCUUGUGCGGCUGAGGAUGGGCCCGCGGCCUAUCAGCUUGUUGGUGGGGGNGAUGGCCUACCAAGGCGACGACGGGUAGCCGGCCUGAGAGGGCGGACCGGCCACACUGGGAC